AGAAUUUCCAAAAUGCUGUCUUAGUUUACAAAAAGUAGUUCUAGCUACUGAAGACAGAGUGCAGGAAAUCAUUCAAGUAAAAAAUUUGGAAGCAACAAAGAAGUAAGCCAAAGAAACUGCAGUGAUGACCAUAUCCUCCUACUGACUUAUGGUGAAGACAAAAGAAAAGCAAAGAUGCCUUGCACGUGGAUACUGGGCAUUACUAAACAGAGAUGCUGGCGGACCUGAACUCACACUGCUUGUCUGUUAC